CUGUUGACUCGGAUGAUCAUGAAAAUAUAGACAACCGCUUACAAAACCUUGAUUGGUGCACUUGUGGGAAUUGCAUACCAAUGCCAACCGAAGCAGAAUCACUAUGUUGUCACGAAUUUGAGAAAAUACACCACCUAUUCGCAGACUUAAAUUCAGAGGUCCACUGUUUAACACUCCAUCCUGGUUUUCAACCAGCAUGUUUAAAUACAUACGUUCUACAGAUAGCAUACUACCAGUAUAAGCAGCAGUACAGGGAAGACAUUGAAGACUUUUCUGAGAAGUACAGAUACACGGCAUAUCUCCAACUUGCUAGAUGGGAAU